rnacentral:rRNA from 1 species
AUUGCCCCAGUAACGGCGAGUGAAGCGGCAACAGCUCAGAUUUGAAAUCUGGCCCCCUCCGGGGUCCGAGUUGUAAUCUGUAGAGGAUGCUUUUGGCGACGCGCCUUCCGAGUCCCCUGGAACGGGGCGCCAGAGAGGGUGAGAGCCCCGUAUGGUCGGACGCCGAACCUUUGUAAAGCUCCUUCGACGAGUCGAGUAGUUUGGGAAUGCUGCUCAAAAUGGGAGGUAAAUUUCUUCUAAAGCUAAAUACUGGCCAGAGACCGAUAGCGCACAAGUAGAGUGAUCGAAAGAUGAAAAGCACUUUGAAAAGAGGGUUAAAUAGCACGUGAAAUUGCUGAAAGGGAAGCGCUUGUGACCAGACUUGUGCCCGGUUGAUCAUCCAGCGUUCUCGCUGGUGCACUCUGCCGGGCUCAGGCCAGCAUCGGCUCCCCCAGGGGGAUAAAGGUCGCGGGAACGUAGCUCUCUCCGGGGAGUGUUAUAGCCCGUGGCGGAAUACCCUUAGGGGGGGUCGAGGCCCGCGUUCGCAAGGAUGCUGGCGUAAUGGUCACCAGCGACCCGUCUUGAAACACGGACCAAGGAGUCAAGCAUUAGGGCGAGUCUUUGGGUGUAAAACCCGCAGGCGCAAUGAAAGUGAACGGAGGUGAGAGCUUCGGCGCAUCAUCGACCGAUCCUGAUGUUCUCGGAUGGAUUUGAGUAAGAGCCUUACCGCUUGGACCCGAAAGAUGGUGAACUAUGCCUGAAUAGGGUGAAGCCAGAGGAAACUCUGGUGGAGGCUCGCAGCGGUUCUGACGUGCAAAUCGAUCGUCAAAUUUGGGCAUGGGGGCGAAAGACUAAUCGAACCAUC